rnacentral:piRNA from 1 species
AAGAGUAGAACCUUGGGGGAUCCUGAA